rnacentral:rRNA from 1 species
AGAGUUUGAUCAUGGCUCAGAACGAACGCUGGCGGCGUGGAUAAGACAUGCAAGUCGAACGGGACAUCAUGAGUAGCAAUACAAGUGAUGUCUAGUGGCGAACGGGUGCGUAACACGUGGAUACAUUCCGGGAAGCGGGGGAUAGCCCAGGGAAACUUGGAUUAAUACCGCAUGUGGUCGAAAGACUAAAGGCAGGGACCGCAAGGCCUGCCACUUCCCGAUUGGUCCGCGGCCUAUCAGCUAGUUGGCGGGGUAAAAGCCCACCAAGGCUACGACGGGUAGCUGGUCUUAGAGGACGACCAGCCACACUGGAACUGAGACACGGUCCAGACACCUACGGGUGGCAGCAGUCGAGAAUCUUUCACAAUGGGGGCAACCCUGAUGGAGCGACGCCGCGUGGAGGAUAAGGUCUUCGGAUUGUAAACUCCUGUCAUGUGUGAACAAGGUUGUCGUGUUAAUAGCAUGGCAAAUUGAUGGUAACACAAGAGGAAGAGACGGCUAACUCUGUGCCAGCAGCCGCGGUAAUACAGAGGUCUCAAGCGUUGUUCGGAAUCACUGGGCGUAAAGGGUGCGUAGGUGGCGUGGUAAGUCAGAUGUGAAAGCCCGGGGCUCAACCUCGGAAUUGCAUCCGAUACUACCAUGCUAGAGUACUGAAGAGGUGACUAGAAUUCUCGGUGUAGCAGUGAAAUGCGUAGAUAUCGAGAGGAAUACCAACGGCGAAGGCAGGUCACUGGGCAGUUACUGACACUGAGGCACGAAGGCCAGGGGAGCAAACGGGAUUAGAUACCCUGGUAGUCC